UACGGAGGGUGCAAGCGUUAUCCGGAUUCACUGGGUUUAAAGGGUGCGUAGGCGGGCAGGUAUGUCAGUGGUGAAAUCUCCGAGCUUAACUCGGAAACUGCCGUUGAUACUAUUUGUCUUGAAUAUUGUGGAGGUAAGCGGAAUAUGUCAUGUAGCGGUGAAAUGCUUAGAUAUGACAUAGAACACCAAUUGCGAAGGCAGCUUACUACACAACGAUUGACGCUGAGGCACGAAAGCGUGGGGAUCAAACAGG
rnacentral:rRNA from 1 species